GAGUCACCCAUGGCCUGCCCGUAUUGCCGCCCUGUCCCUGUGAGUCCUGGGCUGUGCCCUGCCCCAGGGCUCAUGGGGGCUGCCACCUGGGCCUGUUGCAUCCCUUGCCCAUGGCCCAUCCCCACGAGCCACCUCCCUCCACUGACAACCACACCACAGGUCGGCCCCGUCCUUGGGACAUGGGCUGCAACCUGGUCGGGUCGGCUGAAGAACUGGACGGAAGGGAUGGAAGAACCCCCGGAGGACCCCCACCCUGGACCACGUCCUUCCUGAUGGCCGCCUGGCGCCUCACGCCCACCCUGUGCCCGUCGCCACCUCCUGGUUUGGGCCGAAGCCGUCGUUCGGAAUCCUCAGUGGGAAGGGACCUCGGACGCGUGAUCCCAGCACCGUCCAGCUUUCCAAUCGGCAGACUAGGAUGGAAGUGCCCUUGUGAGCUGGGGGGCCCUUCAAAGGGCCAAGGAAAAGCGCGGGCCGAGGGACCAGCCUCUCAAAUGGGCUUCGAGCUCCAAUGA
rnacentral:lncRNA from 1 species